GAGUCCUUUAAUACAGUCCCGUGAGGCUGAGAAGGAAACGGAUAUGUGCCUAGGGGAUGUUUCCCUUAUCUAUGCGCUCGUUACCCUCUCGCUGAAUCGGUGAGAGGGUUUUUUAU
rfam:Bacillus sp. FJAT-21945 super3, whole genome shotgun sequence.